AUUGAACGCUGGCGGCAGGCCUAACACAUGCAAGUCGAGCGGAUGAGAGGAGCUUGCUUCUCGAUUCAGCGGCGGACGGGUGAGUAAUGCCUAGGAAUCUGCCUGGUAGUGGGGGACAACGUUUCGAAAGGAACGCUAAUACCGCAUACGUCCUACGGGAGAAAGCAGGGGACCUUCGGGCCUUGCGCUAUCAGAUGAGCCUAGGUCGGAUUAGCUAGUUGGUGAGGUAAUGGCUCACCAAGGCGACGAUCCGUAACUGGUCUGAGAGGAUGACCAGUGACACUGGAACUGAGACACGGUCCAGACUCCUACGGGAGGCAGCAGUGGGGAAUAUUGGACAAUGGGAGAAAGCCUGAUCCAGCCAUGCCGCGUGUGUGAAGAAGGUCUUCGGAUUGUAAAGCACUUUAAGUUGGGAGGAAGGGUUGUAGAUUAAUACUCUGCAAUUUUGACGUUACCGACAGAAUGAGCACCGGCUAACUCUGUGCCAGCCGCCGCUGUAAAAC
rnacentral:rRNA from 1 species